rnacentral:rRNA from 1 species
CAAUAGCGUCUAUUAAAGUUGUUGCAGUUAAAAAGCUCGUAGUUGGAUUUGUGGCGUACGGUGUGUUCCGGGCACUUGUUGUCUGAGUAACCUGCUGUUGCCAUCCUUGGGUGGAACCUGUGUGGCAUUAGGUUGUCGUGCAGGGGAUGCCCAUCAUUUACUGUGAAAAAAUUAGAGUGUUCAAAGCAGGCUUAUGCCGUUGAAUAUAUUAGCAUGGAAUAAUGAGAUAGGACUUUUUUGCUAUUUUGUUGGUUUGCGCAAGAAGGUAAUGAUUAAUAGGGACAGUUGGGGGUAUUCGUAUUCCAUUGUCAGAGGUGAAAUUCUUGGAUUUUUGGAAGACGAACUACUGCGAAAGCAUUUACCAAGGAUGUUUUCAUUAA